rnacentral:snoRNA from 1 species
AUGUCAAAAAUCCCUAGAGGAUACUUGAAUCUCUCCCAUGCAUGAUAGAUAGUCUCAUCUGGAUUUUGUUUAAAACUCGGUAUAUCACUUCUAAACUU